UCCAGUGGGUCAAGUGCCUCCGUCACUGAUGGUUGUACCCCCCUCCAGUGUGGAGCUGCAGCAGCAGCAGGUUACCCUCAUGUGUCUGGCCAACAAGGGCUUCCCCUCAGACUGGACUCUGUCCUGGAAGCUGGACGGCAGCAGCAGCAGCAGCUUGGAGCAGAGCAGGAGCCCCGGGGUGCUGCAGAAUGACGGCCUCUACAGCUGGAGCAGCACCCUGAGGCUCCCUGCAGACCAGUGGAGGAAGGUGGGCUCUGUGACCUGUGAGGCCUCCCAGGGCUCCCAGUCUGCAGUCACAGAGACACUGAGGAGAGACCAGUGCUCCCAGUCCUGAGCUGACAUGCCAGAAGAUGGGAACU